CACUGGAAUUCAAGAAUGGAGGUUGUGUCGAAGAAGGAAACUAUAUAAUCAUCAUGUGUUAGCAUCUCAACUAUUUCAUACAUCAAUGGCCUUUGAGAAACUGAAGUUUGGGUAACACAUGAUGAUGAUUAUAUAACAGGAGAGUAUGCCUUGAUAGUGUGUUAACUCCAUAUAACAUUAUAACAAAGUAACCCAAUUUGAAGCACUUUGAAUGUCUCUUGCUCCGAGAACUUGCCAUUCAAGCCGGGAUCUAUUGCU
rnacentral:lncRNA from 1 species